UAGGGAAUCUUCGGCAAUGGACGAAAGUCUGACCGAGCAACGCCGCGUGAGUGAAGAAGGUUUUCGGAUCGUAAAACUCUGUUGUUAGAGAAGAACAAGGACGUUAGUAACUGAACGUCCCCUGACGGUAUCUAACCAGAAAGCCACGGCUAACUACGUGCCAGCAGCCGCGGUAAUACGUAGGUGGCAAGCGUUGUCCGGAUUUAUUGGGCGUAAAGCGAGCGCAGGCGGUUUCUUAAGUCUGAUGUGAAAGCCCCCGGCUCAACCGGGGAGGGUCAUUGGAAACUGGGAGACUUGAGUGCAGGAGAGGAGAGUGGAAUUCCAUGUGUAGCGGUGAAAUGCGUAGAUAUAUGGAGGAACGCCAGUGGCGAAGGCGGCUCUCUGGUCUGUAACUGACGCUGAGGCUCGAAAGCGUGGGGAGCAAACAGG
rnacentral:rRNA from 1 species